AGAUGGCGACCGGCGCACGGGUGAGUAACACGUAUCCAACCUGCCGAUAACUCGGGGAUAGCCCUUCGAAAGAAAGAUUAAUACCCGAUGGUAUAAUCAGACCGCAUGGUUUGAUUAUUAAAGAAUUUCGGUUAUCGAUGGGGAUGCGUUCCAUUAGGCAGUUGGUGAGGUAACGGCUCACCAAACCUUCGAUGGAUAGGGGUUCUGAGAGGAAGGUCCCCCACAUUGGAACUGAGACACGGUCCAA
rnacentral:rRNA from 1 species